rnacentral:rRNA from 1 species
UACGUAGGGUGCGAGCGUUAAUCGGAAUUACUGGGCGUAAAGCGUGCGCAGGCGGUUAUGUAAGACAGGUGUGAAAUCCCCGGGCUUAACCUGGGAACUGCAUUUGUGACUGCAUAGCUAGAGUACGGUAGAGGGGGAUGGAAUUCCGCGUGUAGCAGUGAAAUGCGUAGAUAUGCGGAGGAACACCGAUGGCGAAGGCAAUCCCCUGGACCUGUACCGACGUUCAGGCACGAAAGCGUGGGGAGCAAACAGG